rfam:Bombyx mori DNA, contig: Bm_scaf14_contig10875, strain: p50T/Dazao, build 2, whole genome shotgun sequence.
ACAACAUUCGGACCGUCGGUCUACCGAGCAAUAUUACCCGCUCGGUGGAAGAUCUUCCCUUUGUCGU